CCUACUGAUGGGAAUAAACAGUCUGAUAAGAGUUUGGACACCCUAGCCAAUCGAGACAUGAUUCUGUGAGAAGUCAUACUGUGCAUCUUUAUAUAAAUACAUUUUCAGAUUUACUUUGGAUUCGGGAGAAUGGUAAACAAAAUCUGACAUACUCCAGUUACAUAUCUAAAUAUGUAAUUCUAUUGACGAGAGACGAAGUCGAUAAAAUUUUAGAAAUUAACAACGUGCUACAAUUGGCGUGCAAGGAUGUCGGACAAAUACUGACAUUAAAAGUAAAUGUAGACGCAAAUAAGAUCGUCACUAAUUGACCCCACAUUGUGAUAACACUUUUGUUGGGUCAAGAUAAAACAAAAUGAUGUAAAUUCACAUAAUGUAUCAUCAGUAUCUAUGUGCUAAUAAUAUUUGUAAAUACUUUUCAUGCUGUAUGUAAGUGAAAGUAUUAUCACAACUUAUUAAAAUUUAUCUGGCUUUGUUUACUUGCGAUUUUGUAUGUUAUACAAUUUAUAACAGGGAAAUGUAGUCAUUUUUAUUAGAAAAUAUUUUUUUACACAAGUACAUGAAGUUCUUAAACUGUUUACUAGAAUUUUUGUAGUGCAAAAUGUAUACUGUACAAAAGACAAAUAGAGGUAUGCGAAUUGA